rnacentral:rRNA from 1 species
GAAGCUGGAAUUGCUAGUAAUGGCAGGUCAGCAUACUGCCGUGAAUACGUUCCCGGGCCUUGUACACACCGCCCGUCACACCAUGAGAGUUGGGAAUACCCGAAGCCUGUGAGCUAACUUAUAGAGGCAGCAGUCGAAGGUAGAAUCAAUGAUUGGGGUGAAGUCGUAACAAGGUAGC